rnacentral:rRNA from 1 species
UGGCGGACGGGUGAGUAACACGUGGGAAUCUGCCUUUAGAUGGGGGAUAACUGACCUAAAGGUUAGCUAAUACCGCAUAUGCCGCAAGGUAAAAGGAGCAAUCCGUCUGAAGAUGAGCCCGCGUCCGAUUAGCUAGUUGGUAGGGUAAAAGCCUACCAAGGCUACGAUCGGUAGCUGGUCUGAGAGGAUGAUCAGCCACAAUGGGACUGAGACACGGCCCAU